rnacentral:rRNA from 1 species
CCCAGACUCCUACGGGAGGCAGCAGUGAGGAAUAUUGGUCAAUGGGCGGAAGCCUGAACCAGCCAAGUCGCGUGAGGGAAGAAGGCCCUGCGGGUCGCAGACCUCUUUGGACGGGGAGCAAAGCCGCCGACGUGUCGGCGGAAGGAGAGUACCCGUAGAACAAGCAUCGGCUAACUCCGUGCCAGCAGCCGCGGUAAUACGGAGGAUGCGAGCGUUAUCCGGAUUUAUUGGGUUUAAAGGGUGCGCAGGCGGUCUGUUAAGUCAGCGGUCAAAGCCCGGGGCUCAACCCCGCCCAGCCGUCGGAACUGCCGGGCUAGAGUGGGCGAGAAGUGCGCGGAAUGCGUGGUGUAGCGGUGAAAUGCAUAGAUAUCACGCAGAACUCCGAUUGCGAAGGCAGCGUACCGGCGCCCAACUGACGCUGAAGCACGAAGGCGUGGGUAUCGAACAGGAUUAGAUACCCGAGUA